rnacentral:rRNA from 1 species
GCGCACCAGUCGCGAAAACUUCACACUGUGCGAAAGCACGAUGAGGGAAUCCCAAGUGCUUGCACGUAAGUGUAAGCUGUUUCUCUGUCUAAAACGCAGAGAGAGUAAGGGCUGGGUAAGACGGGUGCCAGCCGCCGCGGUAAUACCUGCAGCUCAAGUGGUGACCGUUAUUAUUGGGCCUAAAACGUCCGUAGCCGGUUUAAUAAAUGCCUGGGUAAAUUGUGUAGCUUAACUAUACGAAUUCCGGGUAGACUGUUAAACUUGAGACCGGGAGAAGUUAGAGGUACUCCUGGGGUAGAGGUGAAAUUCUGUAAUCCUAGGGGGACCACCAGUGGCGAAGGCGUCUAACUAGAACGGGUCUGACGGUGAGGGACGAAGCCCUGGGGCGCAAACGGGGAUUAGAUACCCCUGUAGU